CAGAUAAUUCUUUCAGAUUGCAUUAGUAGGAUUCUGAUUGACAGAUUCUGCUCCAGCCAGCAGACAUAUUAUGGCUGUAAUCCUCACUCUUAUGGCUUUAAAACAUGUAUAAGAGACUAGAUGGGGCUGGCUCCAGG